rnacentral:rRNA from 1 species
AUUGAACGCUAGCGGGAUGCUUUACACAUGCAAGUCGAACGAGUGGCGGACGGGUGAGUGAUAGAGCGGAACGUGCCCAGUAGCGGGGGAUAAGUACGCGAAAGAGUGGCUAAUACCGCAAAAGAUGGGAGCGGCCGUUAGGGGAUUAGCUAGUUGGUGGGGUAAAGGCUCACCAAGGCAACGAUCCGUAGCUGGGUUGAGAGGACGACCAGCCACACUGGGACUGAGACACGGCCCAGACUCCUACGGGAGGCAGCAGUGGGGAAUUUUGGACAAUGGGGGAAACCCUGAUCCAGCCAUCCCGCGUGUAUGAGAAGGCCUUCGGGUUGUAAAGUACUUUUGGCAGAGAAGCGGUAUCUGAAGAGUAAGCACCGGCUAACUACGUGCCAGCAGCCGCGGUAAUUC